UACGUAGGGUCCGAGCGUUGUCCGGAAUUACUGGGCGUAAAGAGCUCGUAGGCGGUCUGUCGCGUCUGCUGUGAAAACUCGGGGCUUAACCCCGGGCCUGCAGUGGGUACGGGCAGACUAGAGUGCGGUAGGGGAGACUGGAAUUCCUGGUGUAGCGGUGAAAUGCGCAGAUAUCAGGAGGAACACCGGUGGCGAAGGCGGGUCUCUGGGCCGUAACUGACGCUGAGGAGCGAAAGCAUGGGGAGCGAACAGG
rnacentral:rRNA from 1 species